rnacentral:rRNA from 1 species
GAUGAACGCUGACAGAAUGCUUAACACAUGCAAGUCAACUUGAACUUCGGUUUGGGUGGCGGACGGGUGAGUAACGCGUAAAGAACUUGCCUCACAGAUAGGGACAACAUUUGGAAACGAAUGCUAAUACCUGAUGUUAUGAUUAUAUGGCAUCGUAUAAUUAUGAAAGCUAUAUGCGCUGUGAGAGAGCUUUGCGUCCCAUUAGCUAGUUGGAGAGGUAACGGCUCACCAAGGCGAUGAUGGGUAGCCGGCCUGAGAGGGUGAUCGGCCACAAGGGGACUGAGACACGGCCCUUACUCCUACGGGAGGCAGCAGUGGGGAAUAUUGGACAAUGGACCAAGAGUCUGAUCCAGCAAUUCUGUGUGCACGAUGAAGUUUUUCGGAAUGUAAAGUGCUUUCAGUUGGGAAGAAAAAAAUGACGGUACCAACAGAAGAAGUGACGGCUAAAUACGU